UACGUAGGUGCAAGCGUUGUCCGGAAUUAUUGGGCGUAAAGAGCUUGUAGGCGGUUUGUCGCGUCUGCUGUGAAAUUUCGGGGCUCAACCCCGAACUUGCAGUGGGUACGGGCAGACUAGAGUGUGGUAGGGGAGACUGGAAUUCCUGGUGGUAGCGGUGAAAUGCGCAGAUAUCAGGAGGAACACCGAUGGCGAAGGCAGGUCUCUGGGCCAUAACUGACGCUGAGAGCGAAAGCAUGGGGAGCGAACAGG
rnacentral:rRNA from 1 species